rnacentral:rRNA from 1 species
AGCGAACGCUGGCGGCAGGCUUAACACAUGCAAGUCGAACGGCAGCACCGCUUUCGCGUGCUACUCCGGGUGGCGAGUGGCGGAUAACAGAGGAAUAAACUGGCCUUUACUUUUUCGUAAGUGCAAGAGACGGGAACUUUUAGCUGAUACGGCCUCCUACCUCAUGGUGAGAGCAGGGGAUCUUCGGCCGUUGCGGGAUUACUUGCGCCGUGGCCGGAUGGGCGAGUUGGCGGGGCAAAGGCAGACCAUGGCGGCGAUCCGUAGCUGGUCUGAGAAGAUGAUCAGCCACACUGGAACUGAGACACGGUCCAGACUCCUACGGGAGGCAGCAGUGGGGAAUAUUGGACGAUGUGCGCAAGCCUGAUCCAGCCAUACCGCGUGGGUGAAGAAGGCCUUCGGGUUGUAAAGCCCUUUUGUUGGGAAAGAAAAGCAGCAGGUUAAUACCCCGCUGGUCUGACGGUACCCAAAGAAGAAGCACCGGCUAACUUCGUG